UCUAAAGUAGGGGAACUGCCAUUGCAAGCCUGAAUUCAUUCAUCCAAAGGACAGUGAAUGAGGACCAGCACAUCAGGAAGGCCUGCAUGAGUAACCAGCCCCAAUGCCCAUCCCAGGCUUCAAGAGUGGAAUUAGCUUUGAGCUCCUUAGAAGUCAGAUGGCUAGGAAAAUUCAGUAGUGUUGGAAUCUUCCAUUCCUUCUUUAAGGAUCCACGUCCUGGCUGCAAAUCACAACUGCUCUUCGCGAUGACCCCAAGCCUGCUCACAGUAAUGCCCUCAGUUGCAGGCACUUGGCAGUCUCUCCAGAUACCUGGCUUUCCCGCAAUCCUUCUUCCAUCCUCUGUUCUGAUCCCUCAGUCCCAGUAAAACCUGGUUUCUUCCCAACUGACUCCAAGCAUCCCAUCUCAUCCAGAGCUCCACUGGAUACAUCAGUGUCUUGAACUACACUCUGGCCCUUUGUCAGCCAAUGUACUUGAAGCGACUCUCAUUUUGGUUCUGUGAUUCUUCUUCACCUCACUCUUCACUCUGUCCAACCUCUUGUGCAUCAUCUGAAAUCCCUAAAGAGAUGGGACAUGGUCAAAGAAGAUGGGAACUGGGAGGUCCUUCGAGAUCUGCCAGUCCAAAGGCCAAGCAGAAACUGUAAAUGAGAAAGCUGAUUGGUUAUAAUAUAAAAGAG